UACGUAGGGGGCUAGCGUUGUCCGGAUUUAUUGGGCGUAAAGAGCGUGUAGGCGGCCAGGUAGGUCUGGUGUGAAAACUCGAGGCUUAACCUCGAGAUGUCAUCGGAAACCAUCUGGCUAGAGUCCGGAAGAGGAGAGUGGAAUUCCUGGUGUAGCGGUGAAAUGCGCAGAUAUCAGGAAGAACACCCGUGGCGAAGGCGGCUCUCUGGGACGGUACUGACGCUGAGACGCGAAAAGCGUGGGGGAGC
rnacentral:rRNA from 1 species